AUACUUACCUGCCAGGGGAGAUACCAUGAUCAUGAAGGUGGUUUUCCCAGGUUGAGGCUUAUCCAUUGCUCCCGGGAUGUGCUGACCCCUGCAAUUUCCCCAAAUGUGGGAAACUCGACUGCAUAUUGUGGUAGUGGGGGGCUGCGUUUGCGCUCACCCCCC